rnacentral:rRNA from 1 species
UACAGAGGUCUCAAGCGUUGUUCGGAUUCAUUGGGCGUAAAGGGCGCGUAGGCGGCGGGGUAAGUCUGGUGUGAAAUCUAGGAGCUCAACUCCUAAACUGCACUGGAUACUGCUCUGCUAGAGGACUGGAGAGGAGACUGGAAUUCACGGUGUAGCAGUGAAAUGCGUAGAUAUCGUGAGGAAGACCAGUGGCGAAGGCGGGUCUCUGGACAGUUCCUGACACUGAGACACGAAGGCCAGGGGAGCAAACGGG